UUAAGCGACUAAGCGUACACGGUGGAUGCCCUGGCAGUCAGAGGCGAUGAAGGACGUGCUAAUCUGCGAUAAGCGUCGGUAAGGUGAUAUGAACCGUUAUAACCGGCGAUUUCCGAAUGGGGAAACCCAGUGUGUUUCGACACACUAUCAUUAACUGAAUCCAUAGGUUAAUGAGGCGAACCGGGGGAACUGAAACAUCUAAGUACCCCGAGGAAAAGAAAUCAACCGAGAUUCCCCCAGUAGCGGCGAGCGAACGGGGAGCAGCCCAGAGCCUGAAUCAGUGUGUGUGUUAGUGGAAGCGUCUGGAAAGGCGCGCGAUACAGGGUGACAGCCCCGUACACAAAAAUGCACAUGCUGUGAGCUCGAUGAGUAGGGCGGGACACGUGGUAUCCUGUCUGAAUAUGGGGGGACCAUCCUCCAAGGCUAAAUACUCCUGACUGACCGAUAGUGAACCAGUACCGUGAGGGAAAGGCGAAAAGAACCCCGGCGAGGGGAGUGAAAAAGAACCUGAAACCGUGUACGUACAAGCAGUGGGAGCACGCUUAGGCGUGUGACUGCGUACCUUUUGUAUAAUGGGUCAGCGACUUAUAUUCUGUAGCAAGGUUAACCGAAUAGGGGAGCCGAAGGGAAACCGAGUCUUAACUGGGCGUUAAGUUGCAGGGUAUAGACCCGAAACCCGGUGAUCUAGCCAUGGGCAGGUUGAAGGUUGGGUAACACUAACUGGAGGACCGAACCGACUAAUGUUGAAAAAUUAGCGGAUGACUUGUGGCUGGGGGUGAAAGGCCAAUCAAACCGGGAGAUAGCUGGUUCUCCCCGAAAGCUAUUUAGGUAGCGCCUCGUGAAUUCAUCUCCGGGGGUAGAGCACUGUUUCGGCAAGGGGGUCAUCCCGACUUACCAACCCGAUGCAAACUGCGAAUACCGGAGAAUGUUAUCACGGGAGACACACGGCGGGUGCUAACGUCCGUCGUGAAGAGGGAAACAACCCAGACCGCCAGCUAAGGUCCCAAAGUCAUGGUUAAGUGGGAAACGAUGUGGGAAGGCCCAGACAGCCAGGAUGUUGGCUUAGAAGCAGCCAUCAUUUAAAGAAAGCGUAAUAGCUCACUGGUCGAGUCGGCCUGCGCGGAAGAUGUAACGGGGCUAAACCAUGCACCGAAGCUGCGGCAGCGACGCUUAUGCGUUGUUGGGUAGGGGAGCGUUCUGUAAGCCUGUGAAGGUGUGCUGUGAGGCAUGCUGGAGGUAUCAGAAGUGCGAAUGCUGACAUAAGUAACGAUAAAGCGGGUGAAAAGCCCGCUCGCCGGAAGACCAAGGGUUCCUGUCCAACGUUAAUCGGGGCAGGGUGAGUCGACCCCUAAGGCGAGGCCGAAAGGCGUAGUCGAUGGGAAACAGGUUAAUAUUCCUGUACUUGGUGUUACUGCGAAGGGGGGACGGAGAAGGCUAUGUUGGCCGGGCGACGGUUGUCCCGGUUUAAGCGUGUAGGCUGGUUUUCCAGGCAAAUCCGGAAAAUCAAGGCUGAGGCGUGAUGACGAGGCACUACGGUGCUGAAGCAACAAAUGCCCUGCUUCCAGGAAAAGCCUCUAAGCAUCAGGUAACAUCAAAUCGUACCCCAAACCGACACAGGUGGUCAGGUAGAGAAUACCAAGGCGCUUGAGAGAACUCGGGUGAAGGAACUAGGCAAAAUGGUGCCGUAACUUCGGGAGAAGGCACGCUGAUAUGUAGGUGAAGCGACUUGCUCGUGGAGCUGAAAUCAGUCGAAGAUACCAGCUGGCUGCAACUGUUUAUUAAAAACACAGCACUGUGCAAACACGAAAGUGGACGUAUACGGUGUGACGCCUGCCCGGUGCCGGAAGGUUAAUUGAUGGGGUCAGCGCAAGCGAAGCUCUUGAUCGAAGCCCCGGUAAACGGCGGCCGUAACUAUAACGGUCCUAAGGUAGCGAAAUUCCUUGUCGGGUAAGUUCCGACCUGCACGAAUGGCGUAAUGAUGGCCAGGCUGUCUCCACCCGAGACUCAGUGAAAUUGAACUCGCUGUGAAGAUGCAGUGUACCCGCGGCAAGACGGAAAGACCCCGUGAACCUUUACUAUAGCUUGACACUGAACAUUGAGCCUUGAUGUGUAGGAUAGGUGGGAGGCUUUGAAGUGUGGACGCCAGUCUGCAUGGAGCCGACCUUGAAAUACCACCCUUUAAUGUUUGAUGUUCUAACGUUGACCCGUAAUCCGGGUUGCGGACAGUGUCUGGUGGGUAGUUUGACUGGGGCGGUCUCCUCCUAAAGAGUAACGGAGGAGCACGAAGGUUGGCUAAUCCUGGUCGGACAUCAGGAGGUUAGUGCAAUGGCAUAAGCCAGCUUGACUGCGAGCGUGACGGCGCGAGCAGGUGCGAAAGCAGGUCAUAGUGAUCCGGUGGUUCUGAAUGGAAGGGCCAUCGCUCAACGGAUAAAGGUACUCCGGGGAUAACAGGCUGAUACCGCCCAAGAGUUCAUAUCGACGGCGGUGUUUGGCACCUCGAUGUCGGCUCAUCACAUCCUGGGGCUGAAGUAGGUCCCAAGGGUAUGGCUGUUCGCCAUUUAAAGUGGUACGCGAGCUGGGUUUAGAACGUCGUGAGACAGUUCGGUCCCUAUCUGCCGUGGGCGCUGGAGAAUUGAGGGGGGCUGCUCCUAGUACGAGAGGACCGGAGUGGACGCAUCACUGGUGUUCGGGUUGUCAUGCCAAUGGCACUGCCCGGUAGCUAAAUGCGGAAGAGAUAAGUGCUGAAAGCAUCUAAGCACGAAACUUGCCCCGAGAUGAGUUCUCCCUGACUCCUUGAGAGUCCUGAAGGAACGUUGAAGACGACGACGUUGAUAGGCCGGGUGUGUAAGCGCAGCGAUGCGUUGAGCUAACCGGUACUAAUGAACCGUGAGGCUUAACCUU
rnacentral:rRNA from 1 species